rnacentral:rRNA from 1 species
AUGGACUUAGAGGAUUUUACCGCUGCUUGCAAACUUCCACAAUGGGGUAGUAUCAGGAAACCUUGCAAAUCUGAAUUUAGAGAUUUUCUUGCUAGUAUAACUGUGGGCGAAUCUAGAGAUAUAACACAAGCUACCAUAGGGAGCAUUCACUUUCCUGCUAUACAUUAUUUUGCUCUCUUCAUAGGUAGACGCAUUAAUGGUAAAGAUGAGGCAUGUCACAUGUGUGUCCGUGACCUCAGUAUUCUUAGGAGUGUUGUGUUAGGAGAUAAAUCUUAUAAUUUUGGAGCCAUUGUUGCACGUAGGUUGCAUCUUAAUAGAUUUAAUGGAGAUUCUUUGGUGGAAUUUAUGCAACCCACUUAG